ARAUGAGCCUGCGUGAGAUUAGCUAGUUGGUAGGGUAAAGGCCUACCAAGGCGACGAUCUCUAACUGGUCUGAGAGGAUGACCAGUCACACUGGGACUGAGACACGGCCCARACUCCUACGGGAGGCAGCAGUGGGGAAUAUUGGACAAUGGGCGCAAGCCUGAUCCAGCCAUGCCGCGUGUGUGAAGAAGGCCUUAGGGUUGUAAAGCACUUUCAGGGGUGAGGAAGGGUAAUGGAUUAAUACUUCAUUACUUUGACGUUAGCCCCAGAAGAAGCACCGGCUAACUCUGUGCCAGCAGCCGCGGUAAUACAGAGGGUGCAAGCGUUAAUCGGAAUUACUGGGCGUAAAGCGCGCGUAGGUGGUUUGUUAAGUCGGAUGUGAAAUCCCAGGGCUCAACCUUGGAAUGGCACCCGAUACUGGCUAGCUAGAGUAUGGUAGAGGGGUGUGGAAUUUCCUGUGUAGCGGUGAAAUGCGUAGAUAUAGGAAGGAACAUCAGUGGCGAAGGCGACACCCUGGACUAAUACUGACACUGAGGUGCGAAAGCGUGGGGACCNAACAGGAUUAGAUACCCUGGUAGUCCACGCCGUAAACGAUGUCUACUAGCCGUUGGGNUUGUAAUGACUUAGUGGCGCAGCUAACGCAAUAAGUAGACCGCCUGGGGAGUACGGCCGCAAGGUUAAAACUCAAAUGAAUUGACGGGGGCCCGCACAAGCGGUGGAGCAUGUGGUUUAAUUCGAAGCAACGCGAAGAACCUUACCUACUCUUGACAUCCACAGAACAUUUGAGAGAUCAGAUGGUGCCUUCGGGAACUGUGAGACAGGUGCUGCAUGGCUGUCGUCAGCUCGUGUUGUGAAAUGUUGGGUUAAGUCCCGUAACGAGCGCAACCCUUGUCCUUAUUUGCCAGCACGUAAUGGUGGGAACUUUAAGGAGACUGCCGGUGACAAACCGGAGGAAGGUGGGGACGACGUCAAGUCAUCAUGGCCCUUACGAGUAGGGCUACACACGUGCUACAAUGGCGUAUACAGAGGGCUGCAAGCUAGCGAUAGUGAGCGAAUCCCACAAAGUACGUCGUAGUCCGGAUUGGAGUCUGCAACUCGACUCCAUGAAGUCGGAAUCGCUAGUAAUCGUGAAUCAGAAUGUCA
rnacentral:rRNA from 1 species